rnacentral:rRNA from 1 species
CGAAGGGGCUAGCGUUGUUCGGAAUUACGUGGGCGUAAAGCGCACGCAGGCGGUUCGAUUAGUCAGAAGUGAAAGCCCCGGGCUCAACCUGGGAACUGCUUUUGAUACUGUCGAGCUUGAAUCACGGAGAGGGUAGUGGAAUUCCGAGUGUAGAGGUGAAAUUCGUAGAUAUUCGGAAGAACACCAGUGGCGAAGGCGACUACCUGGCCCGUCGAUUGACGCUCAUGUGCGAAAGCGUGGGGAGCAAACAGGAUUAGAUACCCUGGUAGUCCACGCCGUAAACGAUGGGUGCUAGUUGUUGGGGUACAUGUACCUCAGUGACGCAGCUAACGCGUUAAGCACCCCGGCCUGGGGAGUACGGCCGCAAGGUUA